rnacentral:rRNA from 1 species
UACAGAGGAGCCAAGCGUUGUCCGGAUUGACUGGGCGUAAAGCGCACGCAGGCGGUUGCGCGCGUGGGGUGUGAAAUCUGGCCGCUUAACGGCCAGGCGCCAUCCCAUACGGCGCGACUGGAGUGAUGCAGAGGUCGAUGGAAUUGCCGGUGUAGUGGUGAAAUGCGUAGAGAUCGGCAGGAACACCCAGGGGGAAACCAGUCGACUGGGCAUCUACUGACGCUGAGGUGCGAGAGCGGUGGGGAGCGAACCGG